CACCCCUCAAGCCUGGCUUGGUAUUGGGCGUCCGCGACCGCUUUAUGCGACCGCGCGCCCCAAUGUCUUCGGCUGAGCCGUCCGUCUCUAAGCGUUGUGGUCUUUUCAGAUUCGCUUGCGAGGCCGGGCCGGUUCGAUUGCCGCUAAACACCUCUCUUUUAA
rnacentral:misc_RNA from 1 species